rnacentral:lncRNA from 1 species
UGGAUGCAAGCCAACAGGGUAAGAUUGGGGAAGGUGGAAGAAAUGUCUCCACCCCUUGCUGAUCUCACAGUUGCUGGGUAUAGAUGAUGCAGCUUUGGGGCAUGGCAUUGCCAUCACCAAGACGGGCAAAUCACAAAGGGAACGCAGUGAGUGAGUAGAAGAGAUUUUGGACUUAGUGGGUGAGGACAUCCAAGAGAGCAAGGUACAUGACGACGUGCAGGAAAGAUGAGCCAAGUAAAGAAGAGACUAGAACAACGCUGUGCUAGACUUUCCAGGCUCUGGGGACAGCUGAGGCUAGAACGAUGAGAAAGAGAGAGGAGUGAGCCAGAAGAGGAGAGAGACAAGGGGAAGGGGAGUCUGCCGAGGAAGGAUGAAGACAGAGGGAAGCAUAGUUGGGAAGGAGAAGCGCUAUAAAACCCAGGUGCUGCGGGAGCCACAGGUUACUGUGCAGAUGUGGCUAAGUCCAAGAACCACACGAUACACAACCAGUCCAGCAAAUGGCACAGAAAUGGCAUCAAGAAACCCAGGUCACAAAGAUAUAAAUAUCUUAAGGGGGCUGACCCCAAGUUCCUGAGGAACAUGCGCCUUGCCAAGAAGCACAACAAGAAAGGCCUGAAGAAGAUGCAGGGCAACAAUGCAAAGGCAGUGAGUGCGCACGCAGAGGUCAUCAAGGCCCUGGUGAAGCCUCAGGCCAUCGAGCCCAAGAUGCCAAAGGGCCCAGCCACAGACUCAGCGGGCUGGCUUUCAUCACUCACCCCAAGCUUGGGAAGCAGAUUUGAAGCUACAUGGCCAAGGGUGUAGGCUCUGCCAACUAAAGCCCAAGGCAGAGGCCACAGCUCCAGCUAAGGGCCAGGCUUUAGCUCCAGCCCAGGCUCGCAAAGGUGCGCAGGCCCCUGUGAAGGUCCCAUGGAAAAGGCUCCUGCCAGUGUGAAGACAGAUGGACUGCUGUGACACACCUACCUAUACACUGUUUGCAGAUGACCAGUGACCUAUGCUGUUUUUACAAAUAAACUUGAGGCAAGAUCUAACACACACACACACAUACACACACACACACACACACACACACACACACACACACGCACACACGCACGCACGCACACAUGCACACACGCACACACACAUUUAUUUUGGAGAAAAGGUCUCACCAUGCAACCCAGGAAAGUCUGGAACUCACUAUGUACUCCAGACUGGCUGUGAGCUUAUGAAACUCCUGCCUCAGCACCUUGAACACUGUGACUAAAGAUGUGCACUAUGAAGUUUUAAUUCUCUCAGCUGGUUUUCAGCAAGCGUUCACAAUGAGUUUCACUGUGGGUGUGGACUGCAUACACAACACUGUUUUCUGUAAAAUCUUGAUGAUUAAAAAUAAAAGCAUAUAACUCCUCACUAGAAAGAUUUCAGGCCAGCACUGGAAAUGUUUUGUUUGUUCCUUCGCUGGCUUUUGUUUUUACUUAGAUCUAUGAUUAAAAGGAAGUGAAUGUUGAUGAAAAACCUGACUCAGGGCUUCACUGAGCAGCUACAGUGAAUUCAUAGAAUAGUCAUUGUCUGCGUGCUGGCCGCGUUUGUGCAGUCACUGUAGAAUGACGACGGUACACCCCUAACAAUGUUCACAAGAGAAACAGUUCUGAGGGGUUUCUUUCGUAGUUCCUGAAUCAGACAGCCAUGUCCCAAUAGCAGUACUUUAACUCCUGUGCCUUGGUGCUGGGGGCAAAGAGAGUGGCCCUCUCGGAACACCAGCUCGUGGACUGCAUCACACCUGGUCUGAAGAUGAACUUGGAAGGCGCUGCAUUUGACGUCACGUGGAGCCAAGCGUCUACCACUGCCUCUCUCAACUGUGGCUGGCUGUUCAAAAUCUUUACUUCUGACUUAGCGGCUCCAGUUCUCAUGGUUCUAAGUCGUGGGAUCUCCAUUGUGCGAGAGAUCAGGUAUCCCCUGAAAGGGACUUGACAAUAAAUGUGGUAUUCACUGUUAAUGUUCUUUUCGCUGGAUCUCCUCCAACUUGGUGCCAAAGAAUAUUUGAGAGUUGUUGGGCUGUGUAUCUAAAGGUUUCUGUUGGGCCUGCGAUUUGUAUCAGAAAUAAUUUAUAUUGAAGAUGGAGAAACACAGACACUAAAGACACUUUUGAGACUGAUUCAAGAGAAAGGCAUUUUGAAAUGCCCCAUGUCCUGAAUCUUCACUUAGUGCACAUGUGCUGUGUGCAUGCCUCAUGCAGCCAUGCGCUAGGGAGCUCUCUGGGUACCUAGCACCCGGCACCCGGCAUCCAUCAUCCAUCAUCCAUCAUCCAACGAGGCCAGCAUCACGGUGUGCCCUUGAUGUGCCUUCAAACCAUGCAAAGGACUCAGAUUCACCUACAGCCUCUGGCUCCCCCUCUGAAAGGGCACAAAGAAUUCUUCCUAGAGCAAAGUCACUCCUCUCCUGCUCUGCCUUGGAGAGAGGUCAGAGGUCACGAUGGUCAGAGGCUCUUCUUUCCUUCAGUCUGUUCAGGUGUCAGUGUUCUGGCUGAAGCACCCCACCCCCCCUGUUCUCGCUUUUGUCACAUAUCUCUCUAGGAUAUUUGCCUUUAAAAUCUUGACCACUUCUUAUAUUGUCUUGGUUUCUUUUUCUCAGGAACCAACAUUUGACUCACCGUCUCUGAAGGAGAUGGUAGAAAUGGUGGCUGAAGCCAGAUGUGUGGUGUGGUGCUAUAUGCCCAUAGUCCUAGUGUUUGGUGGUGGUGGUGGGGGGCUGAGGCAGGGGGCUGAGGCAGGUGGAUUUCGAGUUCAAGGCUAGCCAGGGCUACAUGAGGAGUUCUAGGCCAGACAGUACAUACUGAGACCCUGUCUCAGAAACCAGGGAGAGGGCAGGGGGAGGGAGGAAGGGAGACUGCAGAGUGCCAGAAAGGGGGAGAGUGUGGGGACAAUGGCUUUGGUGCUGGCACAGAAGUAUGUUCCCAUCGGAGGCACGGCAGCAGUGUGA